rnacentral:rRNA from 1 species
GGCGUAGGGUGCGAGCGUUGUCCGGAUUUAUUGGGCGUAAAGAGCUCGUAGGCGGCUCGUCGCGUCGUCCGUGAAAACCCGCGGCUUAACCGCGGGCUUGCGGUUGAUACGGGCGGGCUAGAGUUCGGUAGGGGAGACUGGAAUUCCUGGUGUAGCGGUGAAAUGCGCAGAUAUCAGGAGGAACACCGGUGGCGAAGGCGGGUCUCUGGGCCGAAACUGACGCUGAGGAGCGAAAGCGUGGGGAGCGAACAGG